CUAGUACAAAUUCUCAAUACAACAUAGCCGUAGGACAAACGGUCUGUUUCAAAUACGAGACAUUACAUUAAAUGCGCCUGACGCAUCGGAAUAUGUUCGUAUUAUUAGCAUUCAUCUUGAGUUCUUGAGCCUUAACCACUCUGAGUCUUAUUAUCGGCCAUUAGUUUUAAAAUGUCUGCCAGUUCUCGAGAAGUCAGUUUUGGAUCGCCACCUGCAACUUCAACUGAGACGAUUUUCGUGUUCAUUGGAUCUUUACAUGUUUUCACGUUUUUUUCUUCCUUCGUCGAAUUUCUAUUCUUGAUCUGGAUUUCUCGCAAUGGAACCGGAGAGGUAGACAUAUUCUUGUGCUGUCCAAGAUGUGUAACACACAAACAGGAAAAGGUUUGGGA
rnacentral:lncRNA from 1 species